rnacentral:lncRNA from 1 species
UCAUGUGUCACAAUCUUGUUAAUUACCAACUUUGAAGAACCAAGCUUUAUAUAAUAAGAUGUUAUACUAAAUGAUAUAUAUGAUAUUAUAUAAAUAGUUUAAUUAAACAAAGCAUUAUUAUUUAUUUUAGUUUUUAGUAGUAUACAUUUGUUUUUGUCAUCUCUUUUUAACUUCUUGUAGCUGAUAUUUACUAUAAUGUUAUGUUUUUUUUGACAACAACAAAUUAUUAACUAAGAGACCACCGGGUUGGAAAGCCAAGCCGGAGGUGAUGAAUCAACAUAUAACAUAGCUGAAAGAGAACUCUUCGUACCACGUGCAAGCUUGUCUGCCAUUGUAUUUUGUGCCCUUGGAAUAUGUCGAAUCUUGAAAUUAGGAAAGAAAGUCUUACUGCCGCAAAACUCAUCCAUGUGUAUAGCAAAAGCUGGUCAUUCUUCAGGUGACGACACCUUCUUCACCAGUUGAGAAUAAUCCGUCGCAAAUACUACUUCUGUGAACUGCAGGGUCUUCAUGCACUUCAUCGCCCAAAUCAAAGCUUCACUUUUUGCAUGUAAAGGUGACAGGCUUCGUCUUAGGUUCAUUGCCCCCAUCAUAACAUCAUCUGAGUCCCUUGCAUGACAGUACCAACCCUGUCCAGUGAUACUAUAAUGAUAUGUAAACAAGAAAGUUAUAACAAUUAACUCAAAUUAUUAAUUCUUAGUAUACCAUGUUCAUUUUUGAUUGAUCUUCAUCAGAAUUGUUACAUCCUUUAUGUAAGUUUUUUAUUAUAUUGUUUGUGUAAAUUUUUUAUAUUUUAAAAAAAAAACAGAAAGAAAUUCAAACGAAUUAUAAAGUCAGUGAAUGAUUUAUUCUUUAAUAAUGUUUUUCAUGAAUAAUGUUUUAAUAUUAUGUAUUUUAUAUUUUUUUAAAAAUAAAUCAAGUUAUAGUAAUAUCUUCUUUUUUUGUUCACUAGUUAUAGUAAAACUUGGUAAGGGUCAUUUGAGGUCAUUUCUCUAUAAUCAAUGAUAACAGAGUUAUAGUAAUAUAUAUUAUCAUUUAUGGUAGAGAAAUGUGCUCAAAUGACCCUAAACAAGUUUUUCUUCUCAAUUUAGCACUCAAAGCUCAAAAUGACCAAACUAGGUUUCAUUUAAUAGGAUCAUUUACCCUUAUAUCCCUUUCCUUCUCUAAUUAUAUUAAAUAAAAAAUAAUUAAAAUUUUAACCCAUAAUCACGACAUCGUCUCUCAUCUCCGACAUCAUCAUCUCCGAUAUGACUCAUCUCCACCACCAUUAUCUCCAGCACUACUCAUCUCCACCGCCAUUAUCUCCGCCAUCAUCAUCUACGCCAUCAUCAUCUACUUUUGUCUCCCUCAGCUCCAAUCGCUGCUCCGCUG